UACGAAAGGUGCUAGCGUUGUUCGGAAUUACUGGGCGUAAAGCGCACGUAGGCGGCCUUGUAAGUUGGGGGUGAAAUCCCGGGGCUCUACUCCGGAACUGCCUUCAAGACUGCAAAGCUAGAGGACGCGAGAGGUUAGCGGAAUUCCGAGUGUAGAGGUGAAAUUCGUAGAUAUUCGGAAGAACACCAGUGGCGAAGGCGGCUAACUGGCGCGUUUCUGACGCUGAGGUGCGAAAGCGUGGGGAGCAAACAGG
rnacentral:rRNA from 1 species